rnacentral:misc_RNA from 1 species
GUGAAUCAUCAAAUUUUUGAACGCAAAUUGCACUCUCUGGUAUUCCGGAGAGUAUGCCUGUUUGAGGGUCAGUUUAAAUAAAAAUCGGUGUGGUUGCUGCCUUUCGUGGUGACGCAACGGAUUUGGGUCGAUUUGCCUUCGGUUAGGGGACCUAAAAUUUGCAAGGAUUUUUUUGGAAGGAUUUUAAAGAAUUUUACUAACUUUGGGGUAAUCGAUA